CACGUAGGGUGCGAGCGUUGUCCGGAAUUAUUGGGCGUAAAGAGCUCGUAGGCGGUGUGUCGCGUCGGCCGUGAAAACCUGCAGCUUAACUGUGGGCGUGCGGUCGAUACGGGCAUCACUGGAGUUCGGCAGGGGAGACUGGAAUUCCGGGUGUAGCGGUGGAAUGCGUAGAGAUCCGGAAGAACACCGGUGGCGAAGGCGGUCUGCUGGGGUAAUGCUGACACUGAUGCGCGACAGCGUGGGGAGCAAACAGG
rnacentral:rRNA from 1 species